rnacentral:rRNA from 1 species
UACGAAGGGGGCUAGCGUUGCUCGGAAUCACUGGGCGUAAAGGGUGCGUAGGCGGGUCUUUAAGUCAGGGGUGAAAUCCUGGAGCUCAACUCCAGAACUGCCUUUGAUACUGGGGAUCUCGAGUCCGGGAGAGGUGAGUGGAACUGCGAGUGUAGAGGUGAAAUUCGUAGAUAUUCGCAAGAACACCAGUGGCGAAGGCGGCUCACUGGCCCGGAACUGACGCUGAGGUGCGAAAGCGUGGGGAGCAAACAGG